rnacentral:rRNA from 1 species
AUUGAACGCUGGCGGCAUGCCUUACACAUGCAAGUCGAACGGCAGCACGGGUGCUUGCACCUGGUGGCGAGUGGCGAACGGGUGAGUAAUACAUCGGAACGUACCUUAUCGUGGGGGAUAACGCAGCGAAAGCUGUGCUAAUACCGCAUACGCCCUGAGGGGGAAAGCGGGGGCCCGUAAGGCCUCCCGCGAUUGGAGCGCCCGAUGUCAGAGUAGGUAGUUGGUGGGGUAAAGGCUCACCAAGCCGACGAUCUGUAGCUGGUCUGAGAGGACGACCAGCCACAAUGGGACUGAGACACAGCCCAGACUCCUACGGGAGGCAGCAGUGGGGAAUUUUGGACAAUGGGGGCAACCCUGAUCCAGCAAUGCCGCGUGCAGGAAGAAGGCCUUCGGGUUGUAAACUGCUUUUGUACGGAACGAAACGGCUCUGGUUAAUACCCGGGGCUAAUGACGGUACCGUAAGAAUAAGCACCGGCUAACUACGUGCCAGCAGCCGCCGUAA